rnacentral:rRNA from 1 species
ACUCCUACGGGAGGCAGCAGUGGGGAAUAUUGCACAAUGGGGGAAACCCUGAUGCAGCCAUGCCGCGUGUGUGAAGAAGGCCUUCGGGUUGUAAAGCACUUUCAGUAGGGAGGAAGGUAGUGUAGUUAACACCUGCACUAUUUGACGUUACCUACAGAAGAAGCACCGGCUAACUCCGUGCCAGCAGCCGCGGUAAUACGGAGGGUGCGAGCGUUAAUCGGAAUUACUGGGCGUAAAGCGCAUGCAGGCGGCCUGUUAAGUCAGAUGUGAAAGCCCGGGGCUUAACCUCGGAAUUGCAUUUGAAACUGGCAGGCUAGAGUCUUGUAGAGGGGGGUAGAAUUUCAGGUGUAGCGGUGAAAUGCGUAGAGAUCUGAAGGAAUACCAGUGGCGAAGGCGGCCCCCUGGACAAAGACUGACGCUCAGAUGCGAAAGCUGGGGGAGCAAACAGGAUUAGAUACCCUGGUAGGAUAGCG